UAGAAAAAUAUAUUUUGUUGUUAUUUAAAAAUAAUUUUCAGAAAAACGGAGAAAAUGUGGAAACCCACUGGGAAAAUACCCGCGGGAAAGGUCUUGCGCCCGCAGCUGACUGGGACAGUGUGCAGCUAUCUCGGGCGGUGCACACAGCCGGCUUGGGUGAUGUAUCAUCGUCGAUUAGGUGGUGUGCUUGUUUGGUGAUUAAUUACUUAAAUGUGAUUAUGUGAA
rnacentral:lncRNA from 1 species